AAAUCUUGAAAUUUCGACUUUUCAAAGAGUCGAAAUUUUGACUUUUUUAGAAUUCGAAAUUUUGCCUUUAUAAAAAGUCGAAAUUUCGACUUAAACUCAAAAUUUCGACUUUUUUAAAACUGGAAAUUUCGGUUUUUUCUAAACUCGAAAUUUCGACUUCUUUUUAACUCAAAAUUUCGACUUGUUUUAAACUCAAAAUUUCGACUCGUUUUAAACUCAAAAUUUCGAAUUUUCCUAAGUAUUUAUACGUUUGCGAUUACCACAUUCACAGUCAUUUAUAUCAGCAAGCGGAGAGCCAUAUACAUCAUAAACUUAAUAAGCACAUUUUAAUAAACUAAACAAUUUUAAAGAGGUUAUUUUAGAUAGAAAAUCUUGUUCUUGCCGAAGAAUAAAUAAAAUAUGUUUCACGUUCAAAUACAUAUUUCAAGUCUGGACUUCAGAUAUGUGUAUCAAGACAACCCCGUUAUUCCGAUACACCCAUGUUACGACAUACUUUUAUUCAACAGUCUGAUAUAUAAAGACAAGGGUUAAUAGUUGUGUCAUAAGAAUGUCAACUUGUAGAGUUUAAUCAAUAUUUCAAAAAAAAAAAGAACCAUUUAUUCAUUUCAAAAUUCCAAAACUAGAAAACCGAGCAGCUCAUUUGUCGUCCUGAAUAUGCAUGGCAUUUUUGGCUACUUGAUUUACCAUUGUUUAAACAAGGCAAAGUCAGUGACUUGCUAUUGGGAAACCAAACAGGCCUUUGAAACUGCGAUGCUAUAUGUUCUCAGAUAUGACGAUUCUAUGACAGUGUCGUGGGAACUAAAACAUGGAACAAAACCUAUUUCAAAAUAUAAAUUGCCAAAAUGUGUUGAUGACGCUUUAAUAAUUUGCGUCCAUGGCUACUCCUUCUAAAAUUGUAAUAACUGUGUUUGAAUACUAACAUCAAAGUUUUAAAAGAGAUCAAAGUCGAAAUUUCGAUUGUAAAAAAAAUCGAAAUUUUGAGUUUAAAAAAAGUCGAAAUUUUGAGUUUAAAAUAAGUUGAAAUUUCGAGUUUAAAAUAAGUCAAAAUUUCAAGUUUUAAAAAAGUCGAAAUUUUGAAUUUAAA
rnacentral:lncRNA from 1 species